rnacentral:rRNA from 1 species
GAGUUUGAUCGUGGCUCAGGAUAAACGCUGGCGGCGCACAUAAGACAUGCAAGUCGAACGAACUUAAUUUUAAUAUUUAUAUUAAAAAGCGGUUAGUGGCGGACUGGUGAGUAACGCGUAAGCAAUCUGCCUAUCAGAGGGGGAAUAACAGUGAGAAAUCAUUGCUAAUACCGCAUAUGCCAUAAGAAUCACAUGAUUCUAGUGGGAAAGGAGCAAUCCACUGAUAGAUGAGCUUGCGUCUGAUUAGCUAGUUGGUGGGAUAACGGCCUACCAAGGCGACGAUCAGUAGCCGGACUGAGAGGUUGAACGGCCACAUUGGGACUGAGAUACGGCCCAGACUCCUACGGGAGGCAGCAGUCGGGAAUAUUGCGCAAUGGAGGAAACUCUGACGCAGUGACGCCGCGUAUAGGAAGAAGGUUUUCGGAUUGUAAACUAUUGUCGUUAGGGAAGAUAAAAGACAGUACCUAAGGAGGAAGCUCCGGCUAACUACGUGCCAGCAGCCGCAGU